rfam:Canis lupus familiaris chromosome 1, whole genome shotgun sequence.
GGGGGGAGCGACGGAUCCUGGGCUGUGUCACCCGGUGCCCUGGGCUCCAGGGCCUGCGCUGCUGGAAUCGCGCUCCCGGGGCCACGCAGCCCCCU